rnacentral:rRNA from 1 species
GAUCAUGGCUCAGGAUGAACGCUGGCGGCGUGCUUAACACAUGCAAGUCGAACGGGAAACCUUUUAUUGAAGCUUCGGCAGAUUUAACUGGUUUCUAGUGGCGGACGGGUGAGUAACGCGUGGGUAACCUGCCUUGUACAGGGGGAUAACAGUCAGAAAUGACUGCUAAUACCGCAUAAGCGCACAGGACCGCAUGGUCCGGUGUGAAAAACUCCGGUGGUAUAAGAUGGACCCGCGUUGGAUUAGCUUG